GACGAACGCUGGCGGCGUGCCUAAUACAUGCAAGUCGAACGCAUUUUCUUUCACCGUAGCUUGCUACAUCGAAAGAAAAUGAGUGGCGAACGGGUGAGUAACACGUGGGUAACCUGCCCAUCAGCGGGGGAUAACACUUGGAAACAGGUGCUAAUACCGCAUAAUUCCAUUUACCGCAUGGUAGAAGGGUGAAAGGCGCUUUUGCGUCACUGAUGGAUGGACCCGCGGUGCAUUAGCUAGUUGGUGGGGUAACGGCCUACCAAGGCUGCGAUGCAUAGCCGACCUGAGAGGGUGAUCGGCCACACUGGGACUGAGACACGGCCCAGACUCCUACGGGAGGCAGCAGUAGGGAAUCUUCGGCAAUGGACGCAAGUCUGACCGAGCAACGCCGCGUGAGUGAAGAAGGUUUUCGGAUCGUAAAACUCUGUUGUUAGAGAAGAACAAGGAUGAGAGUGGAAAGUUCAUCCCUUGACGGUAUCUAACCAGAAAGCCACGGCUAACUACGUG
rnacentral:rRNA from 1 species